CGUCGGCGAGUUCACGGGGGCGGUGCGGUUCCCACUAUUUCGGGCGGCAGCGCGGGUGGUGGCGGCGGCGCCCGGUGCUCGGCCGCAGUGCGGUGGCGGCUCGUGUGGGGGUGUGUGCGCGCGCGCUGCGGGAGUCGGCCUGCGGACCUACCUGGUCCUGGAUGCACUGUUGAGGUUCUCUGACACGUGACCUACGGACCUACCUGAACACGCGGUUCCAGAAGGGCUCUGUGGACCAUGAGCUGCAGAACACCAUCAGGGACAAUCUGUAUCUUCGCACCGUGCCUGUCACUACGCGGGCCCCGAGGCCAAACGAGGUUCCCGGCGUGGACUACACGUUCCUCACGCUAGCCGAGUUCAAGGACUUGGAGCGGUCCGGAAAUCUACUGGAGAGUGGUGUUUACGAAGGUGAGACGGCAGUGUCGUCCGGGUCAUGUCACAGGUCAUGAAGGUGAGACGGCGGCGUCGGCUGGGUCAUGUCACAGGCCAAGAAGUCGAUACAGCAGUGUCGUCCGGGUCAUGUCACAGGUCGUGGAGGUGAGACGGCGGCGUCGGCCGGGUCUGUCACAGAUCAUAAAGGCGGGUGAGACGGCAGCAUCAGGUCGUGGCCCGGUCACAACUCGUGCCAAACUCCGGACCCGUGUGCGGUCGUGCGCGGCGCGCUGCUCAGUGAACCUCUCGCGAGUCUUGUGGACCCAGGGCCCGCACACGAGCGAGUCCGCCUCGGCCGCGUCUCGGCUGAACCCC